rnacentral:rRNA from 1 species
AACGAACGCUGGCGGCGGGGGUUAGGCAUGCAAGUCGAGCGAUCCUGCGGGAUAGCGGCAAAAGGGUGAGUAACGCGUGGGUAAUCUACCCUUAAGUUAGGCAUAACCUCGCGAAAGCGAGGCUAAUACCUUAUAUGACCACGAUUACAUAAGUAAUUGAGGUAAAAGGUGGCGUACGCUUCGGCGGCUACCACUUAAAGAGGAACCUGCGUCUUAUUAGCUAGUUGGUGAGGUAACGGCCCACCAAGGCGAAGAUAAGUAGCUGGUCUGAGAGGAUGGUCAGCCACACUGGGACUGAGACACUGCCCAGACUCCUACGGGAGGCUGCAGUCGAGAAUCUUUUGCAAUGGGCGAAAGCCUGACAAUGCGACGCCGCGUGAGCGAUGAAGGCCUUCGGGUCGUAAAGCUCUGUUUUGCCUGGAAGAAAGACKUUGGUCAAAUAGCCCAACGGGAUGACGGUACAGGCAGAGGAAGCCACGGCUAACUCCGUGCCAGCAGCCGCGGUAAUACGGAGGUGGCAAGCGUUGUUCGGAUUUAUUGGGUGUAAAGGGCAUGUAGGUGGUUAUUUAAGUCGAAUGUGAAAUCCUUUGACUCAACCAAAGAAUUGCAUUCGAAACUGAAUAACUUGAGUUCGGGAUAGGAGAGCGGAAUUCCCGGUGUAAGAGUGAAAUCUGUAGAUACCGGGAGGAACACCAGUGGCGAAAGCGGCUCUCUGGACCGACACUGACACUGAAAUGCGAAAGCUAGGGGAGCAAACAGGAUUAGAUACCCUGGUAGUCCUAGCCGUAAACGAUGGGCACUAGGUG